UCAUGUGACUUGGACUCCAGUCCACUUGAGUGGCUGAUUUUAUGACUUGGGACAUGAAAGACUCAAUUUGACAUUCAUGAGACUCGACUUAAACCACACGACUUGACAAGUCAUACUGUCAAUAUAGUGUGCCUUUUUGUUUUUGAAAGAAAAUGUAUUAUUUUGUUGUGUCAUGCGUGCCACCAAUCUGCCAACCCGGGACACAGCUCAGCCCAGUGGCUUCCUCGUUGAGCAAGGAUCACGGAGGAAACGCCAAGAAUGAUUACAUUUGGAUUCACUGAAUAUCCUUUUUGAUGAAAUCGGGAAUAAGACAAGAGCGACGCGCAAGGUUUACAGCUCAAACAUAAAAGACACAACUUGGACGAGGUGUACCUUCAUCUGUCUGACGCAGUUCCCUGAAGACUUUAAAAGAUUAUCCCGUGGUGUGUCAAGACGGAGAGCAGCUAAUUUAUCAAUGGAAGGGUCUUUGAUGAUGAAGGAAGCUAAGUUCCAAGAUUUACAUAAUGAAGGGAUGCCACAGCAGAUCAGGUGCCUUCUCUGGCUGAUUAUUGCUUUUUGAUGAGUUUCUGUCUUCUCAUGUCCAUUGCCAGCCCAGCUGCGGCAGGCUAUUGUGUCCGAAAAGAGCAGCUCAGAUGUGCAUCUAUCCAUCUCUAUAUAUAUUGGUCACUCUUUGUAUCUUUAUGCCACUGUAGCCUUAAAAUGUAGUCAAAUUCCAUGUAGCCUAGGGACAAGUGUCAAUAGCCCCCUUUCUCUUUUUCGCUGUUUGUUAUGUUAUUCAAACCGGCACAGAAUGAGGGUGAAGUCGGGUGAAGUUAGGCUGCUAAUUUCCGUGCUUUGGAGAUACACUGAACCCAUGUUCAUCAUGGGGGAUACGUUCUACUCACCCACCAGAGGUGAAAGUCAUAUAAAAGAGAGCAUAUAAGCACAUUGAUUUGGUUUUACUCCUCCCACAUCCUUUAAACACAUUUAAACUUAUCAAAACACACUUUUCGACACAUUGUAAAUGUAUUUGAACAACGAAAUUGCAAGGAUAAAAUGUUUAUAUGAUACUGUAGGUAUUGUAGUGUCUGUUUGUUCAGUUAUGUGCCUUUUAAGAGGCGGGGUCUGGGUUGGUGUCUGACGUCGGUGAGUCCAUGUGAGCGUCUGGACGUGAGCUGUAGACAACAGCUGCUCCUGCAUGCGUGUACUCAAUGUGUUGUCUGUUUUACCGGCAUUCAAUAAAUGGUUGAAAAGUGCAUCAGUGACAAUGACAGACAUUUAAAAAAAAAAAAAAAGGUUUCCUUGCUUUUUUUCCCCCUUCUGCUUUAUUUCUCCUAAUACCAAAUGAGAUUUGAAACUGUUUUUCUCCUGUAUAUUUUUUUCCCAGCAUUAACUUGCAUCAAGACCCACAAAAAUAAAAACAUUUUUUGACAGAUAAUGUGAAAAUAAAUGCUUCCUCUUAGAAAAUAGCCAUUUAGUCAAAACCUGUAAACACAAACCUUAAUAAAUUAACAUUUUAAUUUUCACGUCAUAAAAUGAACUGUCAAAGAGCAUAGGCUUGGGUGGUUCAGUACAGUUUUUGCCAGUUGUCUCACUCUCUCUUAUCCUGUAGAAUUAUUCAGGCGAAGCCAAAGUGAAGCAAGUGAAACGUUUGUGGCUUACAAGCAUGUACCUCGCGUCCAAAGAGCUCCUAUCUUGUCAUACGGAAAAAGAUGUGAAAAUGAUUCCGCUCGUGAUGUCUGUUUCUUAGCGGAAAUUAAAUUCCCUCGUUGCUUUUUGGAAAAAUCUUUGCUAGAGGUGUCUGAAAAGUUGCUAAAUGUAGCGACCGAAUCGCUAAGUUGGCAACACUGACAGUGCUUUUGUAAACUUGCU